rnacentral:rRNA from 1 species
AAGGGUAAAUGCCUCCCAAGCCGAUGAUCAAAAGCCAUGUUUGAUAGAACAGAUGGCCACAUUGGGUAUGAAAAGCCCCAAGUAGAAUUAUCUACCAGCAGUCAAGAAUAUUAGUCAAUGCUCGCAAGAGUGAACUAGCUAACUGAAAUCACAGGAUCCGCUACGUGUGGUGAAUGUUAUAACGUAAGGGAAAAAAAUGAUAUUACCUUACUAUUAGUGUUGUCCAAAACUGGUGCCAGAAGACUCGGUAAGGCCAGAGACGCAAACGUUAGUCGUCCUAAUCAGGCGUAAAGGGUAAGUAGGCUGCUUUAAAAGUUUAGUAUAAUAUUUUAAUUAGCUCUGUAUUAAAAAAGUAAUAUUUGUUUAACACAGUAAAAUAUAAAUGAAUUAAAGCUAGGAUCAAAUUGAGGAUAAUUAUAAAUAAUACUUAGUGUAGGGUUUACAUCUGGUGAUACUAAGGGGAGUACUAACGGUGAAAGCUUUUUAUCUAGAAAUGAUUGACGCUGAGGAACGAAGGUGAGAAUAGGAAAUAGGAUUAGAUACCCAGAUACCUCUCACAGUCAACGAUGAAUGGUGGUUGUUAGUUAGUUUUAUUUAACUGAUAACGAUGUUAACACGAUAACCAUUCCGCCUUGCGAGUACGGUUGCAAAACUGAAACCAAAAAAAUUAGUCGGUCUCGAAGCAAACGAAGUGAAGCAUGUUAUUUAAUACGAUAAUACGCGUAAAAUCUUACCAGUCCUUGUAUAUCCAAUCUUUCUAAUUUAAAUUAGAGAGAUUGAGUAGUUUCUUUUUACUAAAAUUAAGAAAUUCGUUUA